rnacentral:lncRNA from 1 species
GUGGAGGUGUAAAAAUGGUAGCGUCUAGAAUUUACAAACUUUUUGAAGCAGGAACCAAAAAUGUAAGUUGACAUUCCACAUUUGUGCAAGAAACAUACUAUUGGGUAAACAUCAUGAAAUAGGUUAUUGUAUUUAUUACUGCCUGUGCAGGGGCAGACCCAGCCUUUUUAAAAAGGAGGGGGGGGGGGGGUUCCCAACACAGGACAAAGGGGGGUUCCAGUUUAAUGACUCCAUUCAAAUGCAUUGAUCGGCCAAAAAAAGGGGGGUUCCAACCCCAGAACCGCCAAUGCUGUGUUUGGCAGAUAAUUAACUGGAAAUUACAAAACAAAUGCACUGCAAUUCAUUGGGUUAUUUCCCUUUACAGUAUUUUCU